GCUGGGUAUUCAAAAAAAAAAACUUAACAACUAAAUUGCUUUAAUUUUUUUAACAACCAAAUGGCUCGUAUUCGAUAUGUAUAGUGCCAUAUAUGAUAUAUACUGUAUAUAAUUCAUGCUACUGAAGGAGUUUGAGAAUAUUUUUACGUAAUUCACCUUUGCACGAGUGUGAUAGGAGGUAAUACUUUUUGUUUUUCUUGUAUAUACUAAUACACAUAUGUAUAAUUACUAUAUAUAAAAAAAAUUGCCAAAAAAUUUGGGUAUUCAACUGAAUACCAAUGAACACAAUUGUGCCCGCCACUGAAUGUAGAGUGCACAGUAGGUUUGACAUUCUCUCGUAUUGUACAGUGUUGAUUUGGGGACGUCCGUAUUGUAUGUAACCCAGGCGAUCAGACCCCAAAUGGAAUCCUUUUUAUGCAUGGUACCCAAGAGGAACAUGACUCUCUGAGAGCUGAAUAGCUGAUCGUCCAACACCUGUGCGGCUGUGCGUCACUUUGCCUUAUUGCACCAGGACAAAUCCAACUGGAAAUGCAAUCUGUCUCUGUUC
rnacentral:lncRNA from 1 species